ensembl:lncRNA novel transcript
AAGUGGUUCCUCCACCAGGGAGACAAGUUUAAUUGCUGUGGGUCAGAGCUGGCCUCCCCGGUGCAGGGAGGAGGAGAUCCCAUGAGUGCGUGGCAGAAAACGCCAGCCACUCAUGACGCCUUGAGCCAGGGUCAUACUAUAUUGACCUGGCUGGUCUGGAACUCCUGGCCUCAAGCGAUUAUCCUGCCUCAGCCUCCCAAACUGUUGGGAUUACAGCGUGAAGCUCUAGUUCCAUAACUUCUGGGAAGCAAUGGCCAGUCUCAGACUUAAGGAUUAAGAGAAUUUUCCUAAUGAUUCCAGAAUCGGAUACUAAGAAACACGGACACUGCCAGGGAAGGCGCAGUGGCUCCCGUCUGCAGUCCAAGCACUUUGGACGGAUCACGAGGUCAGGAGUUCAAGACCAGCCUGGCCAAUAUGGUGAAACCCCAUCUCUACUAAAAAUACAAAAAUUAGCCAGGCAUGGUGGCGCAUGCCUGUAAUCCCAGCUACUCGGGAGGCUGAGGCAGAAGAAUUGCUUGAACCCAGGAAGCAGAAGUUGCAGUGAGGCGACAUUGUGCCACUGCACUCCACCCGGGGUGACAGAGCCUGAGUCCGUCUCAAAAACAAACAAACAAACAAACAAACGAGGACACUGUCUGAGCACUCUUAUUCUGCAUUUGAAGAAAUACAGAAACAAUGGCAAAAAAUCAUUUGCUCAGAAUUACAGUAAAGAAUCUGCAAGUGUUGGCAAGCAUAACUUUGAUUAUUAUUUGAUUACAUGAAUUAUGAAAUGCAUGUAAGUUGAAGUUUUAGAGAGACAUAUAAAUACACAGUAUAAUUGGGGGUUCUUAUUAUUAAGGUCCCUUGUCUUUAGUAUCUGAUAGUUUCGCAUCUCCUUCCUCAUGAGUCCAUGGCAGAAAGUGUCAGUCUGUCUUUUCCUGGCUCCUGUGGGUUAGAACCAUUUAUGAAGUACAUAUCUCUCCAUAGUAGCUCCCUUAUGGUGUUUUGAUAAGAAGCUAUUCUGGGACCUUCAGCUUUUCUUCUGUUACUACCUGUUGAGGUGAGAGCAAAGGAGAUAGAGACAGCAAAGGAGGCAAGAAGUGGUCUACUCUCUUUUCCAUCUUUCACCCAAGGAUAAGUACUAACCACAGCAGAGCUUAUAUCUGGCUAUAUAUUAAGGAUAUUUUCCUGAAGACCUGAAGAAAACAAAACAGCAUAACAUUAGAGCCCAGAUAAAUUUUGAACAAGAUAAAGAUUUGAUCUUGGAGCCCUUGGGGUUCAGCUAUAACCUAUCUCUUCUGAGAUGAUUUAGUUAUCCUCCCUCCAGGUGGAGGCAGCUUCAUGACCAUUCCUCCUGGAUAUAUGUGCAUUUGGGGGAAGACCCUUAUUCCAUCACAAAGCACCAGAUAGGAGUAGAGUCCUGGCUCAUCCACUCUAAUGCUGAAUUCCCCAGUGUCCUCUUUUCCAUUCUACCUCUCACAUGCUCUGACAUUGGCACCCUGUCAGCCUGUCCCUUAACACCAUAAACUACUAUUGGUACAUUUUCCAAAGUUUAAGCUUACUUAGAAUAUGUAUGAUUGUUUUCUAGCCUGGUUCAAUUCCUUUUCAUGAAUUUGUAUUCAUUACUAGGUCAAGAUAAAUACACAUUCUUCCUGUAGUUUUCCAGGUCUUGUUUUCUGAACUCGGGAGCAAUUGUUUAAAAAUUAAUACAGUGACAGUGAUAAUCUGUGUAAUGUGAUAUUCAAAAGCAAAAUUUGCAUUUUAAAAAUGACAGAUUUUGUAGCCUUCACCAUAGUUGUAAUGUUUUAACAAUUUGAAGCCAAUUUCGAUGAGUACCCUAAUUUCUCCAAAUAUUUAGCAAGAAGAGUUUUCCUAAGCAAAGAGUCUAGGCCAUGGAAAAUUAACUUUCCUCUUUCUCACACUUGUGAGAACAGUGAGGCUCAGAGAGUCUGAAUUAUUUGCCAAAGGUCCUAAGAGUGGUGGAGCUGGGAUUCAAAACUAUGUCACUCUUACUCUACAACCAUGCUGCCUUCUAAAAUUUGUCACUGAAUGUAACUUCCCUUAGCACAUAAAACUGUGUGCAGCAAAAGUUCUACAAGCUCCGGGGUCAAGGGGAACAAUAGGUUUUCUGUGUCUCCAGAUAAGUUGACUCAACCCGAUCAUAUUCAAUUCAAUUUUCAUUUAUUGAUCGUCCAUCGGUUUCAGGUACUAAGUGCUAGACAUAAAAAUGACCAGAGAAAAAAGAGAAUUUUGGAAUGAGAGCAGAAUGGAUUAUUUUCUUCUUUCUUUCUUCUGGUUCAAAUAGUAUAUCUCCUGCACAUGACAGUUUUCCUGUAACCUGGUGUAGCACUUUGAAAAUCCAGUAAAGCAGAAGUGACAGCGCUGUAACUCAUGAACUCCACUGAGAUUGCUAUGGUGUGACAAACCUGUCUCAGCUGUCUGUAUAUAAAUUAGGAAUUCCUAAAGCUUUCAAUACGAAAGUUGCUGUGAACUGCUUCAUUUCAAACUGAAAGCAUUGAAAUGCUAAUUAGGAAGCAUUUUUUUUUUCCUUCAAAGUAACUUUAAAUAACUUUUCGGGAAAGUAAACACAAUUAGUCUAUUUUUAUGGGACAGAUUUCUCCCUAUGAGAGGAGAAUGGCCAUUUUUGUGAACUACUGUUGGAUAUGACAUAUAUAUUUUGGAAGUCCCUUUCAAUCGUUGGAUUUGGCAGAUAAAAUGUUUAUACCGAUUGUAUUUUAUUGAAAGCCAUUUUAUGCAAAUUAAUUUAACACAGAAUUUAAUGAUUUUGGAUGCUGUGAGAUGAGGGGAAAUAACCUUUAAAAUUAACACUGCAAUUUUCAUCUUCUGAUUGUCUCAGCCUCCCCCAGAAUAGAAAAUGCUUAUUCUCUUGGAGAGAGAAAUAAAUUUAAUCUUUACACGGG